UGCUGUAAGACCCGAGCCGUUAUUAUUGACAAUUCUACGACGAGUAAGACAAUUUAUACAAUUGUCUUACUCGUCUUACGUUGGUGAUGUGAGGGAUAUUUGAAUGCCAGGGACGCUACUUUUCUAAAAAUUAGCUGGAGUACCUAUGAUAAUAUCUACACUACAUUUUUUCCAAAGUCAAGUACUGACUAUAGCUAUAAUUCCUAUUCGGCAUUCGCCACUCGGUCAUGGUUUUUCUAAUGAGAACC